CAGUAGCCACGGUAAAACGAAGGGGGCUAGCGUUGCUCGGAAUCACUGGGCGUAAAGGGUGCGUAGGCGGGUCUUUAAGUCAGGGGUGAAAUCCUGGAGCUCAACUCCAGAACUGCCUUUGAUACUGAAGAUCUUGAGUUCGGGAGAGGUGAGUGGAACUGCGAGUGUAGAGGUGAAAUUCGUAGAUAUUCGCAAGAACACCAGUGGCGAAGGCGGCUCACUGGCCCGAUACUGACGCUGAGGCACGAAAGCGUGGGGAGCAAACAGGAUUAGAUACCCCAGUAGUCCCUGUCUCUUAUAC
rnacentral:rRNA from 1 species